rnacentral:rRNA from 1 species
CCUGAAGCCCGUGCCCGCGAGGAGCGGCCAAGGGCGAAACCGGUGACUGGGGCUAAGUCGUAACAAGGUAGCCGUACCGGAAGGUGUGGCUGGAACACCUCCUUUUUGGAGCUU